rnacentral:rRNA from 1 species
CCCUUAGAUGUUCUGGGCCGCACGCGCGCUACACUGACGGGAACAACGAGUUUGCAACCUGCGCCGGUAGGUGUGGGUAAUCUUUUGAGCCCUCGUCGUGCUGGGGCUAGAUCUUUGUAAUUUUCGAUCUCAAACGAGGAAUUCCUAGUAAGCGUGAUUCAUCAGAUCGCGUUGAUUACGUCCCUGCCCUUUGUACACACCGCCCGUCGCACCUACCGAUUGAAUGGUCCGGUGAAAUCUCGGGACGGCGGCUUGGUCGCUUGCGUCCGACUGCUGAAACUUGAUUAAACCAUAUCAUUUAGAGGAAGGUGAANUCGUAACA